rnacentral:piRNA from 1 species
AUGAGGGUUGGGUGUAUAGGGAUUAAGAAC